rnacentral:misc_RNA from 1 species
UAACCAAUCCAGCUUGCUGGGUCUUGGGCACCGCCGGCUGGCGGGCCUCAAAAGCAGUGGCGGUACGGCCGGGCUCUAAGCGUAGUAAUACUCCUCGCUACAGACCCCCGGGCGGCACCUGCCAGAACCCCCCCAUUUUUUCAGG